rnacentral:lncRNA from 1 species
CUCCAUUCAUGCCAGUGUUUGGAGGACGGUGGGAUGCCCUAUGGGAAACAAAAACAUUCUACAAGAUGUAAUAGGGAGAUGACCCAGGUGGAGGUGACUUCCACAGCACAGCCUGGGUCAAGAGAGACACAGAAUCUGACCUGAAAUCACAAGCGUAUAACAGAGUUGAAAGCAACCAACAGAAGAAUAUUUCUGUGGCAACUGAAAGGGCCUGACCAACAACACUAACUGGGGGAAGAAGGGUCUACUUUGCCUCACAGUUGGAAGAGAUGCAGUUCACCCUGGUGGGCAGGCAGGGCAGCAGGAGGCACUGAAGCAGCUGGUGAGACUGUGGCUGCAUCCGGAAGCAGAGAAAGAGGAAUCCAGUGCUCAGCUCUGCCAUUGUCUUCCUGACUCAGGCCAGGACCGGUCUGUGGGAUGGCGACACCCUCCUAGACACACCCAAAGAUCAAGACGGCAAUGAAGAUGAACUAAGACAUCAACCAUAGCUGCUCUAUUGUGGAUUCCUGCUUGGGAGCCCUGGCUAUCCUGGAGUCUGUAUCCCGCUGCUUCACCCUUCUGCAUGCCAGGAUUAC